CUGGAUCUUUAUUCAGAUGGUUCUUGCUCAUCAUUACCGCUGCUUUCAAGAUGCUGGUUAUCCCUUCACUGCUGCUGCUCAACUCAUUUGCUCCAAUACGAUGGUCUGGCUGAGUUUUGCUUUAUUUACUCCUAUGGCUGCAACCAUACAACUGGAUGUCUAUUUUCUUCCCAUCAUCAUAGUUGGUAUUGGUAUGCUUAUAAGUGUUGCUU
rnacentral:lncRNA from 1 species